GGAUGUAAUCACCUUAUUAUUAACUCGGGUAAUCUGGAGGUGAUUGAUACUAUGCAUAAUGGAGGGCAGUCGGCAAGAGCCGCGGCAGCAAUCUUCGAUGAUUGUUUUCAUUAUGCAUGUGAUUUCAUUACUAAUAGUUUUGAACACUGUAAUAGAGAAGCAAAUAAAGUAGCUCAUGAGCUUGCUAGAUUAGCUAGAUUUUCUUUGACUUCUGAUUGGUUUGAGGAACCCUUAAAUGAAAUUGUAAUGAUCCUCACAAACGAUGUUCUAUUUAUCUCAAAUGAAUAA
rnacentral:rRNA from 1 species